CAGCAGCCACGGUAAUACGGAGGGAGCUAGCGUUGUUCGGAAUCACCGGGCGUAAAGCGCACGUAGGCGGCUAUUCAAGUCAGGGGUGAAAGCCCGGGGCUCAACCCCGGAACUGCCUCUGAAACUAGAUAGCUUGAAUCUUGGAGAGGCGAGUGGAAUUCCGAGUGUAGAGGUGAAAUUCGUAGAUAUUGGGAAGAACACCGGUGGCGAAGGCGGCAACCUGGUCCAUGACUGACGCUGAGGCGCGAAAGCGUGGGGAGCAAACAGGAUUAGAUACCCGCGUAGUCCCUGUCUCUUAUAC
rnacentral:rRNA from 1 species